CCUGGAAUGGUUUAUGUUUCAAAUAAUUUAUUGCCGUAGGAUGGGACUGCGGCCUAUCAGUUUGUUGGUGAGGUAAUGGCCCACCAAGACUAUUACAGGUACGGGCUCUGAGAGGAGUAGCCCGGAGAUGGGUACUGAGACACGGACCCAGGCCCUAUGGGGCGCAGCAGGCGAGAAAACUUUGCAAUGUGCGAAAGCACGACAAGGUUAAUCCGAGUGGUUUCUGCUAAAGGAACCUUUUGUCAGUCCUAGAAACACUGAUGAAUAAGGGGUGGGCAAGUUCUGGUGUCAGCCGCCGCGGUAAAACCAGCACCUCAAGUGGUCAGGAUGAUUAUUGGGCCUAAAGCAUCCGUAGCCUGCUUUGUAAGUUUUCGGUUAAAUCCAUACGCUCAACGUAUGGGCUGCCGGGAAUACUGCAAAGCUAGGGAGUGGGAGAGGUAGACGGUACUCGGUAGGAAGGGGUAAAAUCCUUUGAUCUAUUGAUGACCACCUGUGGCGAAGGCGGUCUACCAGAACACGUCCGACGGUGAGGGAUGAAAGCUGGGGGAGCAAACCGGAUUAGAUACCCGGGUAGUCCCAG
rnacentral:rRNA from 1 species